AGUGUACGCUGGCGGCGUGCCUAAUACAUGCAAGUCGAACGGAGUGGCGCACGGGUGAGUAAUAUAUAGCUAAUCUGCCCCUUGCUGGCGGACAACAGUUAGAAAUGACUGCUAAUACUCCAUAGCAAGGGAUGAGACUAUCUCGUAUCAGCUAGUCGGUGGGGUAACGGCCUACCGAGGCUAUGACGCGUAGCUGGACUGAGAGGAUGAGCAGUCUAGUUGGAACUUAGACACGGUGCAAACUCCUACGGGAGGCAGCAGUAGGGAAUAUUGCGUAAUGGGGGAAACCCUGACGCAGCAACGCCGCGUGGAGGAUGACACUUUUCUGAGGGUAAACUCCUUUUGUUAGGUAAGCGGUACCUAACGAAUAGGCACCGGCUAACUCCGUGCCAGCCGCCGCGGUAAUUC
rnacentral:rRNA from 1 species